GCCAGACUCCUACGGGAGGCAGCAGUGGGGAAUAUUGGGCAAUGGGCGCAAGCCUGACCCAGCAACGCCGCGUGAAGGAAGAAGGCUUUCGGGUUGUAAACUUCUUUUCUUGGGGACGAAGAAAGUGACGGUACCCAAGGAAUAAGCCACGGCUAACUACGUGCCAGCAGCCGCGGUAAUACGUAGGUGGCAAGCGUUAUCCGGAUUUAUUGGGUGUAAAGGGCGUGUAGGCGGGAAUGCAAGUCAGAUGUGAAAACGAUGGGCUCAACCCAUAGCCUGCAUUUGAAACUGUAUUUCUUGAGUGCUGGAGAGGCAAUCGGAAUUCCGUGUGUAGCGGUGAAAUGCGUAGAUAUACGGAGGAACACCAGUGGCGAAGGCGGCCUGCUGGACAUUAACUGACGCUGAGGCGCGAAAGCGUGGGGAGCAAACAGGAUUAGAUACCCGAGUAC
rnacentral:rRNA from 1 species